rnacentral:rRNA from 1 species
GACGAACGCUGGCGGCGUGCUUAACACAUGCAAGUCGAACGGAAAGGCACUGCUUUUGUGGGGUGCUCGAGUGGCGAACGGGUGAGUAACACGUGAGUAACCUGACCUUGACUUUGGGAUAACAUCAGGAAACUGGGGCUAAUACCGGAUAGGAGCUUCUGCUGCAUGGUGGGGGUUGGAAAGUUUCGGCGGUUGGGGAUGGACUCGCGGCUUAUCAGCUUGUUGGUGGGGUAGUGGCUUACCAAGGAUUUGACGGGUAGCCGGCCUGAGAGGGUGACCGGCCACAUUAGUCCUGAGAUACGCCCCAGACUCCUACGGGAGGCAGCGGUGGGAAAUAUUGCACAAUGGGCGGAAGCCUGAUGCAACAGCGCCGCGUGCGGGAUGACGGCCUUCUGGUUAUAAACCGCUUUCGCCUGUUACGAAGCGUUAGUGACGGUAAUGGGUAAAGAAGCACCGGCUAACUACGUG